GCCCUGAUACCAUUAUAGAAAAUAGAGAAACAGAAACGGAAAAUACUAAUGUUAUUUCUGAAUGAAUUACAAUGAGGUGAGUACACCUUUAAAUAGAGUAAAGCUACGCUUAAGAAAGGAAGAUUACAAGAUUUGAUAACGAUAUGAUUUUCUUAUGAUUAUACUAUGAUUUGAUUACGAUAUGAUUACCCUAUGAUUAUGCUAUGAUUUGAUUACGAUACAUGUCCUAAAAUAGCAUAUUACAAGAAGAUACAUAAUAUAUAUUCAAGAUACAGAAUAUGUAUUCACACUUCCCGGAGGUACACCCCCCUUCAGUUUUCAGGUACUCAGUUCACCGUUCCGUCCCUCCUCCGUUCAACAAAGGGGAAGAAGGGUCAAAGGUGAUUUCAGCCCCCCACAGACAUCAUCAGUAGGUGCAAGGGUGUUUAUUACAAGUGUAAUUUCUUGGAAAAUGACUGCUAAUAGCUGAGGCUUACACACUCGAUGUUUUCGGAAGUAAGCAUUUGAUGAGUUGAUGUAAUCAGAGACAACAGAGUAGUAAGGAAUGGUUUUAAACUGAAAGGUGGAAUUGAACAAAAGAAAUAACUGUGUUAGUAAUGAAUUGUAUGUACUAUGAAACAUAAUAUGUUCUUGUAAUUGCCGGAAUGCAGUUUAUGAAAUGCGAGCCCCCUCUCUGACCCAUAAUUGCGUGUGCACAACUAAACUCACACGGGAAACAGAAAAGAGCUUGUGCAUGUUUCUCUUUUUUUUUCUUAGGCCCUGUUUGUUUGACUGUUAGAGAUUAAUAUUACCACACCCCCAUGUUACUGUAUCUCGUAUGCUUUGUUGAACAUAAUGUGCGACGGAUAUUUACUCCUGGCAGCUAAUGUUCUAACCAAACACAGGGAUGUGGUCCAUUGGAUCUGUAGAUGGGCCCUUUCAAGGUCAUUUCUGUCCAUUUUCUUCUGAAGGUUUGACUUCUGAUGGAGAAUGAUGGAGGCUCAAAAUUAUUGGAAUGCUGAACAAAACAAGAUGCUUGACCACCGGUGGGAACCUUUCAGAUAUGUUCCAAGGCUAGUGGCUGAAUUUUAUCACUCUCUUUGAUGCUGUCAUCAAGCUUCACCAAUUGGGAUUGGACUGGUCUACUCUAAGCCAUGUGCCAUGUUCUGCUUGCAAUGUCAAUGGCACUUGUGAAUGCAGGGGAAUGUGACAAGGGUUCUGAAGGCUGGGGCCCUUAGGGGAGAUUACGUGAUUGAGCCUUCGCAAGUAAGUUCUUCCUGCCUUGUCCCUCUAGAAGAACUCUUAACUGUUCAACAAGUGCCAUCAACUAGGGUGUAGAUUGCUAAAUGGUGUAUGGACAUUUGUAUUUGGAUCUGUAUUCUUUUCUCGUAGAAUAUCGCACUAUUUUUGGUGUAGCAUGUGAAAGGGAAGAAGUCCCAUAUCGUCCUGGAUACCGAACUUAUAUAUAUGAGUCUGAGAGCAUAUUCACUUCAAUAGAUUGCCUUUUUAUUU